CUCACUGUGACAGUCGCUGAUGUGGAUGUCGUAGAUGUGCGAGUGAGUUUUCAGGGUGAAGAAGAGGCCGAUGAGAGAGAGUGUGCCUGUCAACGGGGAUGCCGGGGACAAGGGACAGUCCCGCUGCCACCGCCCGGCAUGAGAGCAGGAGCCAGCAUCCUCCCGGCUCUCUGCCGAGACCGGGCGCUCUCACGCCACGAGCGUGCCGCCCCAUCUCACCGGGACGAAGAGGA